AGGGACAGCACUGAAUGGCUUUGCAGGGCCAACUGGAAGACUGGGCAGCAGUCGACAGAAAGGCAUUGUCAGCAAUAUAUCAGCAGCAUGAUCUCUGAGACCUCUGGAAAAUGUGACUUAUUGCCAUUUUCUGGGAACCCUAGAAGGAACUAGCCAGAGUCCAACAUUCUGAGACGUCAUGACCAAGACACUUUUGAUAUAAGAAAACACUUAGUUGUGGAUGCCUAAGAAUUUCAAUGGUUCAGUUUAUUUUCAUCAUCGUGGGAAGCAUGAUAUU
rnacentral:sRNA from 1 species